UACAGAGGCCGCAAGCGUUGUUCGGAUUUAUUGGGCGUAAAGGGUGCGUAGGCGGUACCGUAAGUUAGGGGUGAAAGUUCGAGGCUUAACCUCGAAAUUGCACCUAAUACUCCGGUGCUUGAGUCUCAUAGAGGAAUCUGGAAUUCACGGUGUAGCAGUGAAAUGCGUAGAUAUCGUGAAGAAGGCCUGUGGCGAAAGCAAGAUUCUGGGUGACGACUGACGCUGAGGCACGAAAGCCAGGGGAGCAAACGGG
rnacentral:rRNA from 1 species